rnacentral:rRNA from 1 species
AUUGAACGCUGGCGGCAUGCUUUACACAUGCAAGUCGAACGGUAACAGGGUGCUUGCACCGCUGACGAGUGGCGAACGGGUGAGUAAUGCAUCGGAAUGUACCGUGUCAUGGGGGAUAGCUCGGCGAAAGCCGGAUUAAUACCGCAUACGCCCUGAGGGGGAAAGUGGGGGACCGAAAGGCCUCACGUUAUACGAGCAGCCGAUGUCUGAUUAGCUAGUUGGUGAGGUAAAGGCUCACCAAGGCGUCGAUCAGUAGCGGGUCUGAGAGGAUGAUCCGCCACACUGGGACUGAGACACGGCCCAGACUCCUACGGGAGGCAGCAGUGGGGAAUUUUGGACAAUGGGCGCAAGCCUGAUCCAGCCAUGCCGCGUGUCUGAAGAAGGCCUUCGGGUUGUAAAGGACUUUUGUCCGGGAGCAAAUCCUAGUGGUUAAUAACCGCUGGGUCUGAGAGUACCGGAAGAAUAAGCACCGGCUAACUACGUG